CUUUAGCCCCGAUAGUAGUGAAAAUCCUCCCGAUUUUUCUUCGGGAGAUUGCAACGGAUAGCGGGAACCAUG
rnacentral:sRNA from 1 species